GCUUAACACAUGCAAGUCGAGCGAUGAAGUUUCUUCGGAAAUGGAUUAGCGGCGAACGGGUGAGGAACACGUGAAGAAUCUGCCCUCCACUUUGGGAUAACACCGGGAAACCGGUGCUAAUACCGAAUAUUGAAACAUAAGUGGCAUCACUGAGUUUUGAAAGAAUUUCGGUGGAGGAUGACUUCGCGGCCUAUCAGCUAGUUGGUGAGGUAAUGGCUCACCAAGGCAACGACGGGUAGCCGGCCUGAGAGGGCGACCGGCCACACUGGGACUGAGACACGGCCCAGACUCCUACGGGAGGCAGCAGGGGGGAAUAUUGGGCAAUGGAGGAAACUCUGACCCAGCGACGCCGCGUGCGGGAUGAAGGCCUUCGGGUUGUAAACCGCUUUCAGUAGGGAAGAAGCGAAAGUGACGGUACCUACAAAAGAAGCACCGGCUAACUAUGUGCCAGCAGCCGCGGUAAUACAUAGGGUGCAAGCGUUGUCCGGAAUUAUUGGGCGUAAAGAGCUCGUAGGUCGUUUGUUACGUCGGAUGUGAAAACCUGAGGCUCAACCUCAGGCCUGCAUUCGAUACGGGCAAACUAGAGUUUGGUAGGGGAGACUGGAAUUCCUGGUGUAGCGGUGGAAUGCGCAGAUAUCAGGAGGAACACCAAUGGCGAAGGCAGGUCUCUGGGCCAAUACUGACACUGAGGAGCGAAAGUCUGGGGAGCGAACAGGAUUAGAUACCCUGGUAGUCCAGACCGUAAACGGUGGGCACUAGUUGUGGGAACCU
rnacentral:rRNA from 1 species